rnacentral:rRNA from 1 species
AUCUGGGCGGCGGAAUUCAAGACGGCUGGCGGGCCUCGCGCUCGUUCGGCCGUUUGAUAUUUCCGUCGCCGUGUCAGACGUCGCGACCUGUUUGUCGUCGGUCCUUGCUCGGAGGAAUUGCGAUCGAGUUCGUUGCGGGCGCGUUUCGGCGUGCUUCGCGGCGAAGACGCGACUCUCUGGCUGACGACGGACAGUAAGCAACGGUGUCCGGCGCAGUGUCUCGCACUCGGCGUCGGUGCCGGUCAGCGACGAUUUCUUCGGGCCUCUUUCCGACCCGUCUUGAAACACGGACCAAGGAGUCUAACAUGCGCGCGAGUCGCGGGGUUUCGAGCGUACCACGGUGCGCUCGUUACUUCCGAAACCCGUACGUUGAAGGCGUAAUGAAAGUGAAUAGGGAAGAUGGCGUUCCGAGUCCACGUACCGUGAUCGAGUAUCGCGGCCGGACGUCCGCACUCCCGGGGCGUCUCAAUGGUUCGCCACGGAUGCGGACGAUCGUCUUUCGGGGCGGUCGUCGGUCUGUGGCGGUCCGA